UGCCCCCUGAUUAAUUAAAUGGCCGCGGUAUUUUGACUGUGCUAAGGUAGCAUAAUCAUUAGUUUUUUAAUUGAAAGCUGGAAUGAAGGGUUGAAUGAGAAAAUAACUGUCUCUUAUAAAUUUUAUUAGAAUUUUAUUCUUAAGUUAAAAAGCUUAAAUAAUUUUAAAAGACGAGAAGACCCUAUAGAGUUUAAUAUAAAGAUUUUUAAUAAAAAUAAAGAAUUAAGAGUUUAUUUUAAGUUUUGUAUUUAAUUGGGGUGAUUAAAAAAUUUAAUUAACUUUUUUUUAAUUUAAAUAUAGAUAAAUAAUUAAUUGAGCCAAAUUUUUUGAUUAUAA
rnacentral:rRNA from 1 species